GGAUUUCUAUAGUAACCACUCCAUCCAAGUUUCUACGACAGUCGACCACCUUCUGGAUUCCAUCCGAGCUCCUACGAGAAUCGGAUUUUAGCCGAACUCCCACAGUGGAGGGAUCCCAAACGAAUUUCGACAACGAAAGGGCUCCACCAGCUGGAUCUCUACUUCGAAUUUCUACUGCAAGCGGUCUACUCCAAACUUCUAUUGCAAACGACGGACUUC
rnacentral:lncRNA from 1 species